rnacentral:lncRNA from 10 species
CCAAAGUCAUGCAACAGAAGAACCCAACUUCUCAGAGAGCUGUAAAUAUCCAGCUUGGGCAAAAUCUUUUUCCCUUGAAGACUGGAAAUAUUAUCCAUGUUGUCCUCCGGAAUAUUUUCAAUGACUUGUGCCCUGCCAGCUCUAGCUUUUGAAGGGUCUACACUCAUCAUCAACAGGCUGGAAAAAUGAAUGGCUUUCUAGGAGGCAUACUGUUCAACUCACCUUUACAACUUUCAAUCACUGUGGCUGAAAUAGAGUCAUGAAAGACAAGAUGUUGAUAAUACUUACAAGAGAAAGAAGAAAUAAAAUCCCUACUUUACGUCUACUUCCUGUAACCAGAUCUGAAAACCUCAGUGACCUCUGUGGAUUAAGCUGUAUUUAUAAUUGUGGAAAUUAGACACGGUGAUGAAACACUGGUUCUUCCAUUUUCCAGAGGCUGUUUUAACACCACAUGAGUGGGGUGUCUAAUUUUUCUGACCUUUGGUUAUUUUAUUCAUACAAGCCAUGCUCACCAAAUGCCUUACUGUGUUAACUAGAAUGGCUUCAGUUAAAUAGCAACAGUGGAGAAAAAAAUAAAUUAAUGCCUCUUCUCAGCAGUGACCUGACAUUACACUUCCUGCCUUUUCUAAACUCUCCUGUAAAAUAUAUACAAUAUUAAAAUUUAAAAUCCUGACAUUUAUAAUUCUUCUAGUAAUUUGUUUCUUUCUUCUGGCAGCUUAAUCACUGCGGGCCUG